rnacentral:lncRNA from 1 species
GUCACAUACAGGGCAGUUCACAUCCAAGCCCUGAAAGAGUAGGGGCAGUCAGAUAGGCUGCUGAUAACAGUUCAGUGAAAGGAGAUGGAAAUCUUCUUACCCCAGGAACCAGAAGGCUUUGUGAAGGGUAUGGGAUCAUUGAAGAUCCUAGCAUAUAAACAGCAUGAUGGGAACAGCAUUGGCAUCCCUCCUAGUCUUCUUAUCCGGCUAUCUAGAGGAAAUCUUCAACCUCACCUUGGGAGUGCUCAGUGUCUCUCCUCCUGAAAAAGACCAUCAAGCUGGUAACCUGAAAAAUCUCUCCAAAUGACCUGCAGGUGUCUGGGCUAACAAAGAAAUUCAAUGUGAAAUAUGAAUAUCCUUUAUUGAAUGUGAACUUCUGACUGUGUCAAAGUCCUCACCAGCCCUCUCCACAUGCUCCCUGCUUUCUCUGUAUAGUAUUCAGCCAGACUUGAGACUGCCUUCUGAAAGCACUGUACCUCCCUCCCUAGAAAGUCAUUAACGUGCAUCUUACGGCCUUGGAGAUGAUUAAGGGAUGAUUUCUAUUCCUUUCUAGUCAUUUGUCAUUUUGCCUUGGAUCAUAACAGUCUAGGGUAAGUU